rnacentral:rRNA from 1 species
AUUGAACGCUGGCGGCAUGCCUUACACAUGCAAGUCGAACGGUAACAGGGCUUCGGAUGCUGACGAGUGGCGAACGGGUGAGUAAUACAUCGGAACGUGCCUAGUAGUGGGGGAUAACUACUCGAAAGAGUGGCUAAUACCGCAUGAGAUCUACGGACGAAAGCAGGGGAUCGCAACACCUUGUUCAACUAGAGCGGCGGAUGGCAGAUUAGGUAGUUGGUGAUAAAAGCUUCCCACACCGACGAUCUGUAGCUGGUCUGAGAGGACGAUAAGCCACACUGGGACUGAGACACGGCCCAGACUCCUACGGGAGGGAGCAGUGGGGAAUUUUGGACAAUGGGAGAAAGCCUGAUCCAGCAAUGCCGCGUGCAGGAUGAAGGCCUUCGGGUUGUAAACUGCUUUUGUACGGAACGAAAAGCCCCGGGUUAAUACCCUGGGGUCAUGACGGUACCGUAAGAAUAAGCACCGGCUAACUACGUGCCAGCAGCCGCCGUAA